rnacentral:rRNA from 1 species
UACGUAGGUGGCUAGCGUUGUCCGGAUUUACUGGGCGUAAAGAGCGCGCAGGCGGUCGUUCAAGUCGAGUGUGAAAGCCCCCGGCUCAACUGGGGAGGGUCACUCGAUACUGAUCGACUCGAAGGCAGAAGAGGGAGGCGGAAUUCCCGGUGUAGUGGUGAAAUGCGUAGAUAUCGGGAGGAACACCAGUGGCGAAGGCGGCUUUCUGGUCUGCUCUUGACGCUGAGGCGCGAAAGCUAGGGUAGCAAACGGG